AGAGAGUUUCUUUCAGAAGUGGACUUAUCAAAGCAACAGUGCUGUUAAUCUGAAGAACAAUGGCAGAUACAAACCCAGAUAAAACCCCUCAGGUAACAGCUACACUUCUUUUCUUCUUUCCGACAUAUGUGCUAAUGAUAUGCAUGUGUACUGUACAUAUUAUAUACAUAUGUAACAAUAGCAUUAUAUGCUUUAAAAAUAUGAAACUCAUGUAUAUUUCUUCUGCAGUGCGAAAAGAGCAAACCAUGCCACGGUGAAGGCAAGGGAAAAGGACCAGGACAAGGGCAAGGUCAAGGCAAGGGUCAGGGUCAUGGUCACGGACACGGUCACGGACCUGGAAAGGAUGGAAAGGAUGGCAAAGGCAAACCAUAAUGAAAGGAGCUGAAUGAAGAGACGUCUGAAGUCUGUCUGAUGCUGUUGUUUUUUUUCUUGCACCAUGACUAAUAAACUAAAACAUGUAUAAUUAUACCACAUAUGUUUGUUUUUAAUUAAAUGAUCAUCAAUAAAGUGUUUGGUAUCAAAGAAUGGCUUUUAGAAUCGUUGACUCCUUAAGCUUUGAAAUUCCAAAUAUAAAACGAAAUGAAGUAGCUGUGGCAAGGUGUGCAAGUUUACACAGCAAGAAGGUGUAUAUGCUGAAACAAUGUUAAAUCAGGAAAUAAG
ensembl:lncRNA